rnacentral:rRNA from 1 species
GACGAACGCUGGCGGCGUGCUUAAUACAUGCAAGUCGAGCGGAGCUAAUCAAAAGCUUGCUUUUGAAUAGUCGAGCGGCGGACGGGUGAGUAACGCGUGGGCAAUCUGCCUUCUAGCCUGGGACAACAGUUCGAAAGGACUGCUAAAACCGGAUAUGCUCCCGGAGGGACAUCCCUCAGAGAGGAAAGGAAACACUAGAAGAUGAGCCAGCGUCCCAUUAGCGAGUUGGUGAGGUAACGGCCCACCAAGGCGACGAUGGGUAGCCGACCUGAGAGGGUGACCGGCCACACUGGAACUGAGACACGGCCCAGACUCCUACGGGAGGCAGCAGUGGGGAAUAUUGCACAAUGGGCGGAAGCCUGAUGCAGCAACGCCGCGUGAGGGAUGACGGCCUUCGGGUUGUAAACCUCUUUUAGCAGGGAAGAAGCGAAAGUGACGGUACCUGCAGAAAAAGCGCCGGCUAACUACGUGCCAGCCGCCGCAGUAA